rnacentral:rRNA from 1 species
UACGGAGGGGGCUAGCGUUGUUCGGAAUUACUGGGCGUAAAGCGCGCGUAGGCGGUUUUCUAAGUCAGAGGUGAAAGCCCGGUGCUCAACAUCGGAAUAGCCUUUGAGACUGGGAGACUUGAAUCCAGGAGAGGUGAGUGGAAUUCCGAGUGUAGAGGUGAAAUUCGUAGAUAUUCGGAAGAACACCAGUGGCGAAGGCGGCUCACUGGACUGGUAUUGACGCUGAGGUGCGAAAGCGUGGGGAGCAAACAGG